rnacentral:rRNA from 1 species
AUUGAACGCUAGCGGGAUGCUUUACACAUGCAAGUCGAACGAGUGGCGGACGGGUGAGUAAUAUAUCGGAACGUGCCCAGUGGCGGGGGAUAACUACUCGAAAGAGUGGCUAAUCCCGCAUACUAUUGGAGCGGCCGAUAUCGGAUUAGCUAGUUGGGGGGGUAACGGCUCACCAAGGCAACGAUCCCUAGCUGGUUUGAGAGGACGACAAGCCACACUGGGACUGAGAAACGGCCAAGACGCCUACGGGAGGCAGCAGUGGGGAAUUGUGGACAAUGGGGGAAACCCUGAUGCAGCCAUCCCGCGUGUAUGAGAAGGCCUUCGGGUUGUAAAGUACUUUCGGCAGAGAAGCGGUAUCUGCAGAAUAAGCACCGGCUAACUACGUGCCAGCAGCCGCGGUAAUAC